AACGUAGGUGGCAAGCGUUACCCGGAAUUACUGGGCGUAAAGGGCGCGUAGGCGGCCUUCUAAGUCGAACGUGAAAUCCCCGGGCUCAACCCGGGAACUGCGUCCGAUACUGGAAGGCUUGAAUCCGGGAGAGGGAUGCGGAAUUCCAGGUGUAGCGGUGAAAUGCGUAGAUAUCUGGAGGAACACCGGUGGCGAAGGCGGCAUCCUGGACCGGUAUUGACGCUGAGGCGCGAAAGCCAGGGGAGCAAACGGG
rnacentral:rRNA from 1 species